AGAAAAAUGUAGAGCUCAAUAAAAAUCAAUAAAAAACCCCAAUCAUUUCUUAGUUAGAGGGUCAUCCAUGCCACCAUAUGCACAUAAAAGACAGAGGACAGCGGUGCGAGUCAGAUGUCUCCUUCUUCCUUUACAUGAGUUCUGGAUAAAAUUCAGUUUCCAGGGAAGGCUGGGAAUACCUUUACUAGAUGGGCACAGUGCUAGUCUUCUGGGCUUUGUAGCGUGGGUAUUUCGAAGCUUAGUGGUUAACAAUUUCCCUAAGCAGUCACAAGGUUAAAUAUUUACCUGUAGUUAUUUCUAACAAAGACCACUACAAACACCUCCUUCACAUGCUACGAAAGGAAGAAUGCAUCCAGUUCUGGCAACCAUAAUGCAACCAGCAACCAGCAAGCCAACAGGUCAGACAAGGACAAGAUAUUAGGAAGAAAUCUUUGAGAGAAUUCUAGAUUACUCUGCUCCCUCCAGUGUCUGUCAGCCUGUACCAGCGCUUCACUGCUAUUCUUUAAGGCUACAGCGAUAGAGAAUAGGACUAGCAGACAAACCUGCAAAACUCUCAGUUUUCCCGUUUAUUGAGAUUUGACUAUUUUUUCUCUGUCUAGAAAAGUCUUUCUUCAUUUUUCAUAAGCCUUUGACUGAUCUCCAAAAUUUCUGCAAAAUAUGAAUGUGGUAAGUUUUUCUUGAUGUUUUUACAGGAGAUAUUUUUUAGAAGUUCUUAUUCCUUUAAUUUUGGUGAAAUCAUCCUUGUACCUUGUUUAUCGUUAUGAAACACAUUUGAGAUUUAUAAAUAAAUCUCAAAGAAUUUGCUUCACAAGUUCAACUCACAGGCCAAUCUGCCUAAUUUGGAAACAGCAACAAAAUUACUAAUGGCUUAUAAAUGCGUAAGUGAGGAUUUGAAGAUUUUCGGCUGUAUUUUAACACUAUGAAUGUUGUGCAAAGUCAGCGGAGCGAAAGGGAAAGCCACUCUGGAAGAACACACCUCAGAUGAAUCUCAAAUCUAUUGCUGCAAUUUUCCAUGGGUUGCUGCUGCUGUUCUGUGCCUGAACAGAAUCCAGUUCCAACCAUCCUGUAGCAGGAGGAAUUGCUUCAUGGACUAGGUGAGAGAAGUGGAACCAGCCCGAAGAGAAAGCAACUUUACAGCAUCAGAAAAGGGAGAAAACUGGAGACACUUUCUUCAGUCUGGGACUGCAAAAAGAUGUCGUGCAGAAUGGAGGUCACCUGAAAGCCAGGAUCCCUGUGAACAAAGCAAAUCUCUUCAUUCUUUUAAUGUUCGACGCAACAACCCCUAAAAAACAAGAGAGUUUUUCUGUUGUUGAGGUCACAAAGUCUGUGGUAUUUUGUUAUGGAAACUGCAGCUGAGGAAAGCGCCAGUUUGUGUUUCAGUUAAUAUUUUGGGUUUCUAAUAGCAGAAGCUGCCAUUGACCCAUUCAUGGAUGAAAGGCGGUGUAUUGAAUGGUGUCUGAGAAGUAUAGAGAAUUACAGGGAAUGCAGAAUGACAAGAACCUGCAAAUGUUUCUCUCAUUUCCUCUGAAUCAGACAUGCAGUUAAAGUUGGGUCAUUAUCCUUCCAGGGAUUUCUGUUAAAUGCUCAACCUCUCUCCAGCCUCGCGUCUCUGCUUCUGGUGCUAGCAGUCCUCUUCAGAAAGAAAUGAGUUGUUCUUUGAGCUCAAUUGACUUGAAAUACAUAGUGCAGGGCUUGCAAAAAUCAAUUUCAAAAGGACUUUCUUUAAUUUUUCUGCCUUUUAAUUUUAUUUUCAGCAUGGCUCAGGCAUUUUAACUGAAAGAAGAGAUGGUGGCAGAAAACAGUUUACAUACCAGAAAUCUGGUCCACAUGCCUCUACAGAAAGUGCUCCUACACACUGUCUUAAUUAGGGCUUCUAUUGCUGUGAAGAGACACCAUGACCAUGGCAACUCUUAUAAAGAAGACAUUUCAUUCAAUUUGGCCUACAGUUUCAGAGGCUUAGUCUGUUACCUUCAUGGUGUCAUACAUGGUGCUUCAGAAGGAGUUGAGAGUUCUACAUCCUGAUCUGCAGGUAACAGGAAGUAAGGUGAAUGCCACCCCGCACAGAGCUUAAGCAUAGGAGCCCUAAAGUCUACCCACACAGUGACACACUGCCUCCAAAAAGCUCACCUCUAUUCCAACGAAAUCACACCUCCUAAUAGGACCACUCUUUUAUGUGGAUCAUUUUCUUUCAAACUACCACACGUACUGAGUCGUCCUGCAAGACCUUACUUUCAUCAUUUGAAAUGCUAAAAAUCUCAGUAUGUGAUUUUCUCAAUUUAAAAAAAUCUUUAGAAAUUAUAAAAACAAUAUUUGUGUAAAAUCA